GCCAGGCACAGUGGCUCGUCCCUAUAGUCCCAGCUACUCGGGAGGCCGAGGUGGGAGGAUCACUUGAGCCCAGGAGUUUUGGGCUGUAAUGCGCUAUGCCAAUCGGGUGUCAGCACUAAGUUCGGCAUCAAUAUGGUGACCUCCCCAGAGCAGGGGACCACCAGGUUGCCUAAGCAGGGUUGAACCGGCCCAGGUCGGAAACAGAGCAGGUCAAAACUCCCACGCUGAUCAGUAGUGGGAUUGCGCCUGUGAAUAACCUAUGCACUCCAGCCUGGGCAACAUAGCAAGACUCUGUCUCU
rnacentral:SRP_RNA from 1 species